UGUUUCUCCUCCCACUGCCCUGCCCUCUGAAUUCAAAACAUCCCAAGGGCUGGCACAGAAUAAAGUAAAGCCCCUGAGUUCUCUUGAGACGGAGCAGAAGAUGCCCAGGACCCCAUCUGCAGCUGCAGUGGAGACAGGCAACACUUGGUGCUGAGAGACGUUGGAUCAGGACUGGGUUAACGGCGUUCUCAUCCUGAACCGACAUCCACAUCCAGGGGGCUCUUUGCUGGGCUGAGUUGAAGAGCUUGGCCAUCUUCCUCGGGCUUUUGAGCCUGUGACCUGCAGCUACUCAAGAGCCUUCGAGUGUCUCAGGCAAUUAAGGCAGGAAAGGGAUGCUGGGAUUCACUGCCUCCGUCUGAACCGGAAGACAGGAACCUGUGAAGCGGAUUCCUGGGAUGAAGGAGAGCACAGCGGCUGACAGCCUGUGGGUUUCCCACAGCCCCUGUCACGGGAACGAGGCUGCUGCCUUCAGAGGCAGCUUCUUUCCUAUGGACUGGGCACCUGCCGAUAGGCGGUAGCACCAGGUGGGCCCUGUGGGCAGGCAGGACCUCCAUGCCAAGCAGCUGGAAUUCAUUAGUCUUUUAGUGUCUGCCCCAUGGCAGCACUAUCCUGGAAACUGCAGUUAAACUAACCCGAUUCUGCAAACCAUCGCAGAGGACUUCUCAGCUCCGUUGGCGGGACGGACAGACAGACGGCAUCGCUCCACCAGCAUUUGACCCAACAGACCCCACUUCCUGGUCCAUUUGGAUGUGACACCAGACCUAGGUCAGAGCCAGCCAGCAUCCCUUCUACUGCAUAAAGGAUGCUGGCAUCUUGGUUGCCUAGCUACCCUAAUAAAGUACCAAAAGUGGA